rnacentral:rRNA from 1 species
AACGAACGCUGGCGGCAUGCCUAACACAUGCAAGUCGAACGCGUGUAGCAAUACACGAGUGGCGGACGGGUGAGUAACGCGUGGGAACCUGCCCAGUGGUAGGGAAUAACUGCGGGAAACUGCAGCUAAUACCCUAUACGCCCUUUGGGGAAAGAUUCAUCGCCAUUGGAGGGGCCCGCGUCGGAUUAGCUAGUUGGCGGGGUAACGGCCCACCAAGGCAACGAUCCGUAGCUGGCUGAGAGGAUGAUCAGCCACACUGGGACUGAGAU